GCCUUCGUGCUGUAGUGGUCAGCACGCUCGACGCAUAACCGAGAUGUCCGUGGUUCGAUUCCCGGCGAAGGUG
rfam:Stegodyphus mimosarum contig104892, whole genome shotgun sequence.